rnacentral:rRNA from 1 species
ACGCUGGCGGCGUGCCUAACACAUGCAAGUCGAACGGGGUGAUUUCCUUCGGGGGAUCACUUAGUGGCGAACGGGUGAGUAACGCGUGAGAAACCUGCCUUUCAGUGGGGGAUAACACGGUGAAAACCGUGCUAAUACCGCAUGUUUUAUGUUGAGGGCAUCCUCGAUAUAAUAAAGGAGCAAUCCGCUUUAAGAUGGGCUCAUGUCUGAUUAGAUAGUUGGUGAGGUAACGGCUCACCAAGUCUACGAUCAGUAGCCGGACUGAGAGGUUGAACGGCCACAUUGGAACUGAGAUACGGUCCAGACUCCUACGGGAGGCAGCAGUGGGGAAUAUUGGGCAAUGGGCGAAAGCCUGACCCAGCAACGCCGCGUGAAGGAAGAAGGUCUUCGGAUUGUAAACUUCUUUAUAAGGGAAGAAAAAUGACUGUACCUUAUGAAUAAGCCACGGCUAACUACGUG